UACAGAGGUCCCGAGCGUUGUUCGGAUUCAUUGGGCGUAAAGGGUGCGUAGGCGGCGGGGCAAGUCUGAUGUGAAAUCCCGGGGCUCAACCCCGGAACUGCAUUGGAUACUGCCUUGCUAGAGUACUGGAGAGGGAACUGGAAUUUACGGUGUAGCAGUGAAAUGCGUAGAGAUCGUAAGGAAGGCCAGUGGCGAAGGCGAGUUCCUGGACAGUUACUGACGCUGAGGCACGAAGGCCAGGGGAGCAAACGGGG
rnacentral:rRNA from 1 species